CAGUCGCCACGGUAAUACGUAGGGUGCAAGCGUUGUCCGGAAUUAUUGGGCGUAAAGAGCUCGUAGGCGGUUUGUCGCGUCUGCUGUGAAAUCCCGAGGCUCAACCUCGGGCUUGCAGUGGGUACGGGCAGACUAGAGUGCGGUAGGGGAGAUUGGAAUUCCUGGUGUAGCGGUGGAAUGCGCAGAUAUCAGGAGGAACACCGAUGGCGAAGGCAGAUCUCUGGGCCGUAACUGACGCUGAGGAGCGAAAGCGUGGGGAGCGAACAGGAUUAGAUACCCCUGUAGUCCCUGUCUCUUAUAC
rnacentral:rRNA from 1 species